CAGGCAACAUGUUAUAGAGCAGCAGGAACAGAGCAGACUCAUAUACAGUGUUGUCUAAAAUUAAUAUUUUGUAAUGUACAGAAUAUUAUACCAUCUCAGUAGGACAGCCUUCCCUGAAUGAUUAUGUAUACAGGAACAGCUGUCAGUCAUUAACUAGCACCGCCCACUAGACUCUUAAAACAUACCUGAGUUUUCAAAACAAAGUUUACAUAAUGGCUAUGUUUCAUUGUAAUAACUGUGAAGGAGCAGAUCUUUUUUUAUGGGCUUCUUUAAUGUCUUCCUCAACCAUAUAAUUCCCUGUUUCACCUGCACAGCUAGAAGCAUUUCUCUCACAAGCAGCGGGCGUCUCCCUUCUGUGCAAUCUGCCAGUGCUGCCCUCACUUCCAAACUAUAUUUGUUUUUUUUCAAGGGAGCUCAGAAAGCUGAUACGGAGGUAGAAAUCACAUUUACAAACACACAAGAGGUCCUCGGCCCUUCAGAAGCAGUACACAAUAUAAGCAGUUCUUCCACCAGGUUCAGGUUCUCAGCUAGGUCUGACAAUCCCCCAUUUUCUGUGAACUGUCUUUUGUGUCUCUGUUACUAUAGACGGCUCUAGCAUGACAACAGGCAGUGGACUGCCAGUUAGGUGGAAGUGAGACCCCUAAUGGCUAUGUUUUUUCAGGUGGAUGAAGGCGGAUUUUUUAAAUAAAGUGAUUUAGAAAUGUCCUAAUUAAACCAUCCUCUAUUAAAUUAAAUUGUGUGAAACAGCGACUCUUUAAGCCAAGAAUGAGCGGAGAUUUAAAUGAAUAAAUGACAAGUUCUACUGAAUAUCUCCCCACAAAACUAUAUAUCUGCUCAGUACCUCCUGCUCUAUAACAUGCUGGCUCAGAUCAGUUACCAAGGUCAACAUGACAGGUUCCCAGGCUGAUGCUGGAACAAUCUGUAAGACACAUUUUUCUAUUAUUUUUGUACCUGCACCCAAUAUAGCCAUCUCCACAAAGCGUUUAUGACCACGCAUUGCAACUUAUAACCACACAAAGACAUAAAGGCUUACAUGAUGCAGCCACUAACAGGUAUGACACAAUGAUAGACUAACACUGGAUUUAAAUCUCCUUUGCUCUGGGUCACUGAAGCUGUAAAUGACUUUAAACGUCAAGAAACUAAAUUUAUUGAGGCUGAAGGUCAGAUUUGUAUGAUGCACCGACAACACACACACACACACACACACACACACACACAAACACACAGUAAAACCCACAUGACAUGAGUACACAGCCAGUUCUGCCUCCCUGUUACUCCCUGUAAAUUAUGUAUAAACAAACAGUACUGCCUCCCUGUUACCCUCUGUAAGUGACAUAGAAGUGCUCUCAUUAAGAGAAAAAUAAGAGUAUUGCAGGUUUGAUGCCUUUUAACGGCUAACAAAAAUGAAAGUAAUGAUAUUACAUAGCAAGCUUUCGAGACAUCACCAGUCUCUUCAUCAGGCGUACGGUAUCAGACUUUUUCCAAUGAUAUAGGAGCACACAGUACAGCCUCCAUGUUACCCCUGGUAAAUGAUGCACUUAAAGAUGGUACUGCCUAUCUGUUACUCCCUGUAAAUAUUGGCGGAACAGACAGUGUUGCCUCCUUGUAAAUGAUGUAGACACAGACAGUACUGCCUCCCUCUUACCCCAUGUAAAUGAUGUAGGCACAGGUAGCACUGCCUCCCAAUUACUCCCUGUACAUGAUGUAGGUACAGACAGUACUGCCUCCCUGUCUCUCCCUGUAAAUGAUGUAGGUACAGAUACUACUGCCUCUCUGUCUCUCCGUGUAAAUGAUGUAGGUACAGAUAGUACUACCUCCCUGUCUCUCCAUGUAAAUGAUGUAGGUACAGAUAGUACUGCCUCCCUGUCCCUGCCUGUAAAUGAUGUAGGCACAGAGAGUACUGUCUUCCUGUUCAGUAAGUUAUGGCGCUGUAAACAAUACCAACAAGCGGCUGUCAGGAGGGGAGAAUGGCCAAGUAUUGAUAAGGUAAGUUAUGUGUUACUUUUGGGUUUACUGAUGGCCAUGGGAUCACUAUAACAUGGCAAAUGACUAUAACUGAUAAUACUGCCCCCUAUACAACAUCUUCACAGUACUGCUCCCUGUACAUAAGAA